rnacentral:lncRNA from 1 species
GCUAGAGCCAGUUUUAUUCCUGUCUUUGGGGAGUUAUCAUUGCGACUAGUGCAGUUCCUAAAGAUCUUUCAACACUCCCUCCCUGCUUCCACCCUCACCCCAAUUAGGCAAAGCAGAUCUAGAGGGCUGAGGAGGUGUUACUUACCUGUAAUGUGCAGAGGUGAGAGAAGGUUGCAAGGAAGCUGUGCAAAGAAUUUGUAGAGGACACGUAAGUUCACAGGUGGAAUGGAUUCUAAGUCUGUCACAGUCUCUCAUUUCUGCUCUUCCUUUGUCUUAGAGAAGACAAAGCCUUCUGUGAUCUGGAGCCACAGCCGGCCAGAAUUGCAAGACAAAGCCCAUUUUCCACGAAGGAAGGCCCUUCUCCCCAUGUUCCAGUACAUCCAGUGCUUUCAGGGCACCGAAACGUCCUCAAGUGAGCAAGAGAAAAUGUUCAUGGGACAGAGCCCCUUGGCAGCCAAAACCUGAGAUGAGUAUCCCUGAAGACUGACCACAGGCCAGAGGCUGAGCCGCUGGGGCAAGAGAAGCAAGUGCAUUAGGCCCAAGGUGAGCUGGGUCUCUCUCUCCCAGCAGCUUGCUCCUAAAACCUGGAUGGGGAAAGACAAAAGGGCUCCAGGAAGCUAGUACUGUGGCUCUCCAUGACAAAAUCCUACAGCUCGCCAC